rnacentral:snoRNA from 1 species
GUCACGUGAUAUUUUCAUUUUGAGAAGCAAGUGCUUUAUGCCGUGCUGACCUUAAGCAAUCACCCUUGACUGACA